CCAACUUCUUUUUCUAGUCACUGAAACGACCUAUUAGACACUUGAGCUCUCAAUUCUAAUGCCGCCACUUUGAAUGAAGAAAGCGAGGGAUUUGGUCCAAACCUCGGGUAGACGCUUCCUCAGGCUCCCAAACUCUAGGACACCCAAGAUGGAGGAUAUGUCGGAGCGAUACGGGUACAAGCCGAUUCUGCGAUGGAACCCUCAGGUGGAGGAGUACUUCGUCAAAGCCUACGGAGCCGACCAUUUCUCGCGUAUUUCCAGUGCCCUAACGUGUCCGUCUUGCUACUCUUGUGUACGUGUGAAUACACUCAAGUCAACAAGUGAUGCCAUUAUUCAGAAGCUAGUGGCAAUUCUGAAAGAAACAGAGCGUGGCGAUGCUAAUGAUAACUUAAGCGAAUGUGAUGCCAAUGUCAAUGCUGAUACAGGCGUGAAGCAAAAAGGCUGUUUGAAAGAAACUAGUAUUUCCCUGAAUUUGAGUGACUGUAGUAAGGAGACAAAUGCUCUGAAAGAAAACUUCCAAACUGGUCCCAUUUCUAAGUGUCAGUUCCCUGGGUUAGACUAUGUGGUGUUUGUCGGGGGUUCAGGACCGCAUGUGAUUGAUUAUGGUUAUAUACAUGACAAACCUCCUAAGGAGGUCAUUGUGAGCCGGAAAUGUGCUGAGGCAGUUCUUCGAGGUGCUCAGGUCUAUGUUCCUGGUGUAAUGGCGUGCAGUGCUCACGUUGAGAAAGGGGAUAAAAUUGCAGUUUCGGUUGCUGUGGAGCAGCCUGGUCUUGAUGGUGGAUGGGGUCUCGGUAUAACACGUGGGACUGUUCUGCAGGGGUUGGAGACAGAUCCAUAUUAUUUUGAACGAAAUGGUCUGUAUAUUGGCCAAGGAAGAGCGAUGAUGUCAAGGGCUGGGAUGUUCCGUGUUUCAGAAGGAAUCGCCGUGGAUAUGAGCAAUAGAGUAUUUAAACUGCCUUCCUUUCAUGAUGUGCUUGAGGGUGAAAUUUUUCUUCAAAACCUGCCAAGCAUCGUCACUGCUCAUGCCUUAGAUCCCCGAAAGGGUGAGCGAAUACUAGACAUGUGUGCGGCACCAGGAGGGAAAACAACUGCAAUUGCAAUCCUCAUGAAGGAUGAAGGAGAGGUUGUUGCAGUUGAUAGAUCUCACAAUAAGGUGCUGGAUAUUCAGAAAUUGGCUGCUGAAAUGGGUUUGAAUUGUAUAACCACAUAUAAGCUAGAUGCUCUUAAAGCUGUUUGUCAAAGGAAUGAUUCCUGUAGUACAACCGAUCUCUGUUGCAGUAAGGAGGAUGAUGGUGUAACUAAUCUAAGUUCUGACAUGCUGAGUUUACAUGUGGAGAGAGAAUCAUCCAUCACUACAGAAGGGAUGAAUGGCGAGAGUCACAAGGAAAAUGUUAGCAAUUGCACUGAAAAAGCGAAUGAGAGAACUUAUGUUAGCAAAGCUGACAUCAGGAAGAAUAUACGAAGAAUGCGGAAUGGCCCAGGAAGAAAUCAGUGCAGUGGAGGUAGGGUUCAGAAUUCGAAAGGUUUUUCUCCUAACAGUUUUGAUAGAGUGCUUCUCGAUGCUCCAUGCUCUGCCCUUGGUUUGAGACCUCGGCUGUUCUCUGGAGAGGAAACUAUUCAAUCCUUAAGAAACCAUGCGAAGUAUCAAAGAAGAAUGUUUGACCAGGCUGUUCAAUUAGCUCGCCCGGGUGGAGUAAUUGUAUAUUCAACGUGUACGAUUAAUCCUGGUGAGAAUGAAGCAUUGGUACGAUAUGCUUUGGAUACAUAUAAAUUUCUCUCCUUGGUGCAACAGCAACCAAGCAUUGGAGGACCUGGCCUUGUUGGCCAUUGUGAAUUUCCUGAUGGAUAUAUUGAGGAGUGGCUAAGACCGGGUGAGGAAAAACUCGUGCAGCGGUUUGAUCCAUCAUCUCCGCUCGAUACAAUUGGGUUUUUCAUUGCCAAGUUUGUUGUUGGCUCAAAAGAUGUCUGACUUGGGAAAACUCUGCAACUUCAUCAGAUCAUAAACAGUUAGGGCAUGAAGUUCUCUCUCAAGUCAGACCUCAUCAAAUAGCCCAGCCUUAGCCUCGGGAAUACUCACCCGUCCCACCAUCAGACCCUGGUACGUGAACGUUGCAUUUGUGCCAUCGUACUUGUAGGGACCAAAAUUUGUGUUCUUCACCCUCACCUGCAUGGGCGGAACUAGAAUUUUAAGAGGGGUGAGACAAAACCCAAAAAAUUUUAAAUUUUGCGGCGGCCGGAGACCUUAUGUGCCAGGCGUGAUUCCGCCCCUGCUCACCU